rnacentral:miRNA from 1 species
AUAUAUAUAUAUAUAUACAUAUAUAUAUAUAUAUAUAUGUAUACAUACACACAUAUAUAUAUAUAUAUAUAUAUACAUACACACAUAUAUAUAUAUAUAUAUAUAUAUAUA